rnacentral:lncRNA from 1 species
GUGUAAUCAUUAACCAAGUUUCAGAAGUGACCUGACAGCUGUUUCCUGUGUUUUGGAAAGGAUGAUGGGCAGAGGAAGAAGGCUGCCACAGUGUUCCACCCAUCCUUACUGACAGACACGUACUGGGAGGUGCAAAGCCCACAGCUGGUACUGCAGCUCAGGUAGAAAGGAAGGAAGGCAGUUUAAUUGCAGAAAACAGAGGAUGGGAAAACUAAGCCUUCACAGCCAUAUUUGGCAUGAGCUCUGGAAUAAGAUUUGCCAUUAGAGGAGAAAGUAGGAAGUGAGCCCUCGUGAGGAGCACCUGAGUGACAUCAGGAUACUCUAACUUGGCCAAGAGGAGAUGAGGAGAACCUGGAGCUUCUGCCAUGACAGAAUGGGACAGAAAUAGUUUGAGAAUCAUCCUACCUAUUGCCUGCCUGAACCAAGAACCAGAUCCUAGAGAAGGACUGUGCCAUACUAGCUGGUUGCAGAUCUCAUGGGAUCCUAAUAUUGAGAGAGAUCUAACAGAUCAAUCAUGA